rnacentral:rRNA from 1 species
UACCGAGUUUACAACUCCCAAACCCCUGUGAACAUACCUAUACGUUGCCUCGGCGGAUCAGCCCGCGCCCCGUAAAACGGGACGGCCCGCCCGAGGACCCUAAACUCUGUUUUUAGUGGAACUUCUGAGUAAAACAAACAAAUAAAUCAAAACUUUCAACAACGGAUCUCUUGGUUCUGGCAUCGAUGAAGAACGCAGCAAAAUGCGAUAAGUAAUGUGAAUUGCAGAAUUCAGUGAAUCAUCGAAUCUUUGAACGCACAUUGCGCCCGCCAGUAUUCUGGCGGGCAUGCCUGUUCGAGCGUCAUUUCAACCCUCAAGCUCAGCUUGGUGUUGGGACUCGCGGUAACCCGCGUUCCCCAAAUCGAUUGGCGGUCACGUCGAGCUUCCAUAGCGUAGUAAUAAUACACCUCGUUACUGGUAAUCGUCGCGGCCACGCCGUAAAACCCCAACUUCUGAAUGUUGACCUCGGAUCAGGUAGGAAUACCCGCUGAACUUAAGCAU